rnacentral:rRNA from 1 species
UACGUAGGGUGCAAGCGUUGUCCGGAAUUAUUGGGCGUAAAGAGCUCGUAGGCGGCCUGUUGCGUCCGCUGUGAAAGCCCGGGGCUUAACCCCGGGUCGCAGUGGAUACGGGCAGGCUAGAGGUAGGUAGGGGAGAAUGGAAUUCCCGGUGUAGCGGUGAAAUGCGCAGAUAUCGGGAGGAACACCGGUGGCGAAGGCGGUUCUCUGGGCCUGUACUGACGCUGAGGAGCGAAAGCGUGGGGAGCAAACAGG